UGAGGAAUAUUGGUCAAUGGGCGUGAGCCUGAACCAGCCAAGUAGCGUGCAGGAAGACGGCCCUAUGGGUUGUAAACUGCUUUUAUGCGGGGAUAAAGGAGUCCACGUGUGGAUUUUUGCAGGUACCGCAUGAAUAAGGACCGGCUAAUUCCGUGCCAGCAGCCGCGGUAAUACGGAAGGUCCGGGCGGUAUCCGGAUUUAUUGGGUUUAAAGGGAGCGUAGGCCGCGUUUUAAGUGUGUUGUGAAAUGUAGACGCCCAACGUCUGCAUCGCAGCGGGAACUGGGACGCUUGAGUACGCGCGACGUUGGCGGAAUUCGUCGUGUAGCGAUGAAAUGCUUAGAUAUGACGAGGAACUCCGAUUGCGAAGGCAGCUGACGGGAGCGGCACUGACGCUUAAGCUCGAAGGUGCGGGUAUCAAACAGG
rnacentral:rRNA from 1 species